rnacentral:rRNA from 1 species
AGGACGAACGCUGGCGGCGUGCUUAACACAUGCAAGUCGAGCGGUAAGGCCUUUCGGGGUACACGAGCGGCGAACGGGUGAGUAACACGUGGGUGAUCUGCCCUGCACUUCGGGAUAAGCCUGGGAAACUGGGUCUAAUACCGGAUAUGACUUCAGGUUGCAUGACUUGGGGUGGAAAGAUUUAUCGGUGCAGGAUGGGCCCGCGGCCUAUCAGCUUGUUGGUGGGGUAAUGGCCUACCAAGGCGACGACGGGUAGCCGACCUGAGAGGGUGACCGGCCACACUGGGACUGAGACACGGCCCAGACUCCUACGGGAGGCAGCAGUGGGGAAUAUUGCACAAUGGGCGAAAGCCUGAUGCAGCGACGCCGCGUGAGGAUGACGGCCUUCGGGUUGUAAACCGUCUUUCAGCAGGACGAAGCGCAAGUGACGGUACCUGCAGAAGAAGCACCGGCUAACACGUGCUAGCAGCCG